rnacentral:rRNA from 2 species
AGCUCCAAUAGCGUAUAUUAAAGUUGUUGCAGUUAAAAAGCUCGUAGUUGGAUUUCGGAAUGGGUCAGUUGGUCCGCCUCACGGUGUGUUACUGACUGGUCUGUUCUUCUUCGCAAAGACUGUGUAUUCUCUUCAUUGAGUGUGCUCAGGAUUUACGACGUUUACUUUGAAAAAAUUAGAGUGUUCAAAGCAGGCCUACCGCUUGAAUACAUGAGCAUGGAAUAAUGGAAUAGGACUUUGGUCUUAUUUUGUUGGUUUCUAAGACCGAAGUAAUGAUUAAGAGGGACAGUUGGGGGCAUUAGUAUUUCGUUGUCAGAGGUGAAAUUCUUGGAUUUACGAAAGACUAACAACUGCGAAAGCAUUUGCCAAGAAUGUUUUCA